rnacentral:misc_RNA from 1 species
AUCUUUAUUUAUUAUAUACAUAAUGUAAAAAUAAUGAUUCAAUUUAUAAGAGUGGGGUUUUAAAUACAAGUUUUCGCGAGACCAUGACCAAAGAUCAGGUCCGCUAAAAAUCGGUAAUGAUCCUUCCGCAGGUUCACCUACGGAAA